AUUGAACGCUGGCGGCAUGCCUUACACAUGCAAGUCGAACGGUAACAGGUCUUCGGAUGCUGACGAGUGGCGAACGGGUGAGUAAUACAUCGGAACGUGCCCAGACGUGGGGGAUAACGAGGCGAAAGCUUUGCUAAUACCGCAUACGAUCUAAGGAUGAAAGCAGGGGACCGCAAGGCCUUGCGCGGUUGGAGCGGCCGAUGGCAGAUUAGGUAGUUGGUGGGAUAAAAGCUUACCAAGCCGACGAUCUGUAGCUGGUCUGAGAGGACGACCAGCCACACUGGGACUGAGACACGGCCCAGACUCCUACGGGAGGCAGCAGUGGGGAAUUUUGGACAAUGGGCGAAAGCCUGAUCCAGCAAUGCCGCGUGCAGGAUGAAGGCCUUCGGGUUGUAAACUGCUUUUGUACGGAACGAAAAGGCUCUGGCUAAUACCUGGGGCACAUGACGGUACCGUAAGAAUAAGCACCGGCUAACUACGUG
rnacentral:rRNA from 1 species